GACGAACGCUGGCGGCGUGCUUAACACAUGCGAGUCGAACGGAAAGGCCCUGCUUUUGUGGGGUGCUCGAGUGGCGAACGGGUGAGUAACACGUGAGUAACCUGCCCUUGACUUUGGGAUAACUUCAGGAAACUGGGGCUAAUACCGGAUAGGAGCUCCUGCUGCAUGGUGGGGGUUGGAAAGUUUCGGCGGUUGGGGAUGGACUCGCGGCUUCUCCGCUUGUUGGUGGGGUAGUGGCUUACAAAGGCUUUGACGGGUAGCCGGCCUGGGAGGGUGACCGGCGACAUUGGGACUGAGAUACGGCCCAGACUCCUACGGGAGGCAGCAGUGGAGAGUAUUGCACAAUGGGCGGAAGCCUGAUGCGGCAACGCCGCGUGCGGGAUGACGGCCUUCGGGUUGUAAACCACUUUCGCCUGUGACGAAGCGUGAGUGACGGUAAUGGGUAAGGAAGCACCGGCUAACUACGUG
rnacentral:rRNA from 1 species